rnacentral:rRNA from 1 species
UGAAUACGAGAUGCUACGGCGUCGAAGCAGUCUAUGUCAUACUUCCAAGAAAAGCUUGCACUGUCAUAAACAAAUAAUGCCUGUACCAUAACCGACACAGGUGGGUAGGUAGAGUAUACUAAGGGGCGCGAGAUAACUCUCUCUAAGGAACUCGGCAAAAUGACUCCGUAACUUCGGGAGAAGGAGUGCCUUAUUUAUAAGGUUGCAAUAACAAGAUCCAAGCAACUGUUUACCAAAAACACAGGUCUCCGCUAAGUCGUAAGACGAUGUAUGGGGGCUGACGCCUGCCCAGUGCCAGAAGGUUAAAGAAGUUGGUUAGCAUCCGCGAAGCUGAUAACUGAAGCCCUGGUGAACGGCGGCCGUAACAAUAACGGUCCUAAGGUAGCGAAAUUCCUUGUCGGGUAAGUUCCGACCCGCACGAAAGGCGUAAUGAUUUGGAUACUGUCUCGGAGAGGGGCUCGGUGAAAUAGACUUGUCUGUGAAGAUGCGGACUACCUGCACCAGGACAGAAAGACCCUAUGAAGCUUUACUGUAACCUGAAAUUGAAAUUGGACUUUACUUGCGCAGUAUAGGUGGGAGGCGUUGAGAAUACUCUUGCGGGAUUAUUGGAGCCAUCAGUGAGAUACCACUCUUGUAAUGUUAGAUUUCUAACUUUGUAUCAUUAUCUGGUCAAAGAACAGUUUCAGGCGGGCAGUUUGACUGGGGCGGUCGCCUCCUAAACGGUAACGGAGGCGCACAAAGGUUUCCUCUGAACGGGUAGAAAUCGUAUCUAGAGUGUAAAGGCAUAAGGAAGCUUGACUGUGAGACCUACAAGUCGAGCAGGGACGAAAGUCGGUCUUAGUGAUCUGACGGUGCUGAGUGGAAAGGCCGUCACUCAACGGAUAAAAGUUACUCUAAGGAUAACAGGCUGAUCUCCCCCAAGAGUUCACAUCGACGGGGAGGUUUGGCACCUCGAUGUCGGCUCAUCGCAUCCUGGGGCGGUAGUACGUCCCAAGGGUUGGGCUGUUCGCCCAUGAAAGCGGUACGCGAGCCGGGUUCAGAACGUCGUGAGACAGUUCGGUCCAUAUCCGGUGUAGGCGUUAGAAUAUUGAGAGGAGCCUUCUUUAGUACGAGAGGACCGAGAAGGACAUACCUCUGGUGUACCAGUUAUCGUGCCAACGGUAAACGCUGGGUAGCUAUGUGUGGAGUGGAUAACCGCUGAAAGCAUCUAAGUGGGAAGCCCACCUCAAGAUAAG